AGGCCAGUAGCUCUAACGGAUAGAGCGUCGGACUCCAAAUCCGAAGGUUGGAGGUUCGAAUCCUCCCUGGCCUGCCA
rnacentral:tRNA from 1 species